rnacentral:rRNA from 1 species
CGAAGGGUGCAAGCGUUACUCGGAAUUACUGGGCGUAAAGCGUGCGUAGGUGGUUCGUUAAGUCUGAUGUGAAAGCCCUGGGCUCAACCUGGGAAUGGCAUUGGAAACUGGCGACCUAGAGUGCGGUAGAGGGUAGUGGAAUUCCCGGUGUAGCAGUGAAAUGCGUAGAGAUCGGGAGGAACAUCUGUGGCGAAGGCGACUGCCUGGACCAGCACUGACACUGAGGCACGAAAGCGUGGGGAGCAAACAGGAUUAGAUACCCUGGUAGUCCACGCCCUAAACGAUGCGAACCGGAUGUUGGGUGCAACUAGGCACUCAGUAUCGAAGCUAACGCGUUAAGUUCGCCGCCUGGGGAGUACGGUCGCAAGACUG